rnacentral:rRNA from 1 species
UACGUAGGGUGCAAGCGUUAAUCGGAAUUACUGGGCGUAAAGCGUGCGCAGGCGGUUGUGCAAGACCGAUGUGAAAUCCCCGGGCUUAACCUGGGAAUGGCAUUGGUGACUGCACGGCUAGAGUGUGUCAGAGGGGGGUAGAAUUCCACGUGUAGCAGUGAAAUGCGUAGAGAUGUGGAGGAAUACCGAUGGCGAAGGCAGCCCCCUGGG